GAAAAAUAAAAUUCAUGAGCUACAAUAUUAUCGUUUAAUUGAAGAUGAAACAUAUGUUAUUGAAAAACAUAUGCAUUCUAGUAAGGAAAGAAUAAUAAAUGAUAAUUCUUAGCCUAGUAAAUUUGGUGAGAGUUGUAGUUAAUAUAAGGGUAUAACAUGUCAUAUACAAAUUUAGCAGUACUGCACUAUAAGCUAUGUAGAUUUCGAUACUCAAUAUUGGGAUACCCUACAGUAUAGGCUCUCGAGUCUUACCGUCUUGGCUUUCAAGUCCUACAGUUUUGGCACUUGGUGCCCUACAAUUACAAUUUCCCUUAUCUGACUUUACGAUCUUGCUAGAGUUUAUAGGGCCAAAGCUAAAAGAUUUCUAAUAAGUGAAAAAUAAUAGAAUCAUCAUAAAAAAAUAAAAUUAAUAAAGAGGUACAUGUCUAAAGAAAUUGAUACGUUGUACAAAAAAUUUCUCAAUAAUGUAUAGAAUAAAAUUUAUUUAUUGAAUUAAAAUAAAUAUUUUUAAUAUUAUUGUUUUUUCAUCUAAAUAGUUAGAGUACUCAUAUUUAUAAACUUAAAGUAAAUAUUUUAUAUAGUUUAGUAUUUUAAAAGAACAUGAGGAAUAUUUAAAACUUAAAGAAACCAAAUAAAAAAAAAGACAGAAGGAGAAUAUUAUUCGAUUAUUAAUUUAUUUGUAUAAUCGAAAGGAAAUAUUUUAUGAAGAAAAGUAUAAAAUAAAUAAUAUUUCUCUUAAUAUAUGAAAUAGAUUGAGAUGUAAAGUACGUGUGUGGAAUUAAAUAUGAAUAUCUAUUAAAUUUAUGGAUAGUAGAACAUGUAUUAUUAAUUUAACUUUAAAAAAGAUUAAGACAAUUUUAACUCAAUUACACGUUAAAAAUUUUG
rnacentral:lncRNA from 1 species